rnacentral:rRNA from 1 species
UACGGGGGGUGCGAGCGUUGUCCGGAAUCACUGGGCGUAAAGGGUGCGUAGGCGGGUCUUUAAGUCAGGGGUGAAAUCCUGGAGCUCAACUCCAGAACUGCCUUUGAUACUGAAGAUCUUGAGUUCGGGAGAGGUGAGUGGAACUGCGAGUGUAGAGGUGAAAUUCGUAGAUAUUCGCAAGAACACCAGUGGCGAAGGCGGCUCACUGGCCCGAUACUGACGCUGAUGCACGAAAGCGUGGGGAGCAAACAGG